rnacentral:rRNA from 1 species
CCUACGGGUGGCAGCAGUGAGGAAUAUUGGUCAAUGGGCGCGAGCCUGAACCAGCCAAGUCGCGUGAAGGAUGACUGUCCUACGGGUUGUAAACCUCUUUUGUCAAGGACCAAAGUGAGCCACGUGUGCCUCUUUGCGUGUACUUGAUGAAUAAGCAUCGGCUAACUCCGUGCCAGCAGCCGCGGUAAUACGGAGGAUCCGAGCGUUAUCCGGAUUUAUUGGGGUUAAAGGGUGCGGAGAUGGGUUGUUAAGUCAGUUGUGAAAGUUUGCGGCUCAACCGUAAAAUUGCAGUUGAUACUGGCAGCCUUGAGUGCAGUUGAGGUAGGCGGAAUGCGUGGUGUAGCGGUGAAAUGCUUAGAUAUCACGAAGAACUCCGAUUGCGAAGGCAGCAUACUAGACUUCCACUGACGUUGAUGCUCGAAAGUGUGGGUAUCGAACAGGAUUAGAUACCCGAGUAGUC